AGAUUGAACGCUGGCGGCAUGCUUUACACAUGCAAGUCGAGCGGCAGCGCGGGGGCAACCCUGGCGGCGAGCGGCGAACGGGUGAGGAACCCAUCGGAACGUGCCCCGGAGUGGGGGAUAACGCCGCGAAAGCGGCGCUAAUACCGCAUAUGCUCUGAGGAGGAAAGCGGGGGACCUGUGAGGGCCUCGCGCUCUGGGAGCGGCCGAUGUCCGAUUAGCUAGGUUGGUGGGUAAUGGCUCACAAGGCGACGAUCGGUAGCUGGUCUGGAGAGGAUGAUCAGCCACACUGGGACUGAGACACGGCCCAGACUCCGUACGGGAGCAGCAGGUAGGGUAAUUUGGACAAGGUGGGGACAACCC
rnacentral:rRNA from 1 species